AUUCCAGCUCCAAAAGCGUAUAUUAAAGUUGUUGCAGUUAAAAAGCUCGUAGUUGAACCUUGGGCUUGGUUGGCCGGUCCAUCUUUUUGAUGCGUACUGGACCCAACCGAGCCUUUCCUUCUGGCUAGCCUUUUGGCGAACCAGGACUUUUACUUUGAAAAAAUUAGAGUGUUCAAAGCAGGCCUUUGCUCGAAUAUAUUAGCAUGGAAUAAUAGAAUAGGACGUUAUGGUUCUACUUUGUUGGUUUCUAGGACCAUCGUAAUGAUUAAUAGGGACGGUCGGGGGUAUCAGUAUUCAGUUGUCAGAGGUGAAAUUCUUGGAUUUACUGAAGACUAACUACUGCGAAAGCAUUUACCAAGGACGUUUUCAUUA
rnacentral:rRNA from 1 species